rnacentral:rRNA from 1 species
GAUGAACGCUAGCGGCAGGCUUAAUACAUGCAAGUCGAGGGGCAGCAUGAAUGUAGCAAUACAUUUGAUGGCGACCGGCAAACGGGUGCGGAACACGUACACAACCUUCCUAUAAGUGGGGAAUAGCCCAGAGAAAUUUGGAUUAAUACCCCGUAACAUAAUGAUGUGGCAUCACAUUAUUAUUAUAGCUACGGCGCUUAUUGAUGGGUGUGCGGCUGAUUAGAUAGUUGGCGGGGUAACGGCCCACCAAGUCUACGAUCAGUGGCUGAUGUGAGAGCAUGAUCAGCCACACGGGCACUGAGACACGGGCCCGACUCCUACGGGAGGCAGCAGUAAGGAAUAUUGGUCAAUGGACGCAAGUCUGAACCAGCCAUGCCGCGUGAAGGAUUAAGGUCCUCUGGAUUGUAAACUUCUUUUAUCUGGGACGAAAAAAGGCGAUUCCUCGUCACUUGACGGUACCAGAUGAAUAAGCACCGGCUAACUCCGUGCCAGCAGCCGCCGUAAUAC